rnacentral:rRNA from 1 species
GAUGAACGCUGGCGGCGUGCCUAAUACAUGCAAGUCGAGCGAACAGAUGAGGAGCUUGCUCCUCUGACGUUAGCGGCGGACGGGUGAGUAACACGUGGAUAACCUACCUAUAAGACUGGGAUAACUUCGGGAAACAGGAGCUAAUACCGGAUAAUAUAUUGAACCGCAUGGUUCAAUAGUGAAAGACGGUUUUGCUGUCACUUAUAGAUGGAUCCGCGCCGCAUUAGCUAGUUGGUAAGGUAACGGCUUACCAAGGCAACGAUGCGUAGCCGACCUGAGAGGGUGGUCGGCCACACUGGAACUGAGACACGGUUCAGACUCCUACGGGAGGCAGCAGUAGGGAAGCUUCAGCAAUGGGCGAAAGCCUGACGGAGCAACGCCGCGUGAGUGAUGAAGGUCUUCGGAUCGUAAAACUCUGUUAUUAGGGAAGAACAAAUGUGUAAGUAACUAUGCACGUCUUGACGGUACCUAAGCAGAAAGCCACGGCUAACUACGUG